GUGUCAGCCGCCGCGGUAAGACGAACCGUGCGAACGUUGUUCGGAAUCACUGGGCUUAAAGGGCGCGUAGGCGGGCGUGAAGGUCCGAGGUGAAAGCCCCCGGCUCAACCGGGGAAGUGCCUUGGAGACCGCACGUCUGGAGGGAGGUAGGGGCGGCCGGAACUUCCGGUGGAGCGGUGAAAUGCGUUGAUAUCGGAAGGAACGCCGGUGGCGAAAGCGGGCCGCUGGACCUUUUCUGACGCUGAGGCGCGAAAGCCAGGGGAGCGAACGGGAUUAGAUACCCCGGUAGUCCUGGCCCUAAACGAUGGGUACUAGGUAGGGGGCCAGCAUGGGCUCCCUGCCGAAGCUAAAGUGCUCAGUACCCCGCCUGGGGAGUAUGGCCGCAAGGCUGAA
rnacentral:rRNA from 1 species